rnacentral:rRNA from 1 species
GGGCGGGGGCACGGGGGGAGGAAAGUAGGGGAUCGCAAGACCUCUCACUAUUGGAGCGGCCGAUGUCUGAUUAGCUAGUUGGCGGGGUAAAAGCCCACCAAGGCGACGAUCAGUAGCUGGUUUGAGAGAACGACCAGCCACACUGGGACUGAGACACGGCCCAGACUCCUACGGGAGGCAGCAGUGGGGAAUUUUGGACAAUGGGGGCAACCCUGAUCCAGCCAUGCCGCGUGCGGGAAGAAGGCCUUCGGGUUGUAAACCGCUUUUGUCAGGGAAGAAAUGGACUUUUUUAAUACAAGAGUUCGAUGACGGUACCUGGAGAAUAAGCACCGGCUAACUACGUGCCAGCAGCCGCGGUAAUACGUAGGGUGCAAGCGNNNAUCGGAAUUACUGGGCGUAAAGCGUGCGCAGGCGGUUUGCAAGUCAGA